UUGGUUUAUAGUGUUCAGAGCUUUAUCUUAAACAUUCUUUUUUAUGACAUUAUUUUAGUUUCUUGACUUCUUUUUUUUUUUUUUUUUUUACAGUGUUGAGCUUGCUCUCCACACUAGGAAUCACCAUUCAUCAACCUACACUGAUGUUACUAGAAAAAAAUAAAAUCAGCUCAGCCUAAUAGUUGAAGAAUAUGAAAAUCAAAAUUCAAGAUGUGGUGAAGAUACCAGAAUAAAACUUUUUGGAGAACUUUUAAAUUUGAGCACUCAGAAGGGGUACCUGGCCCAUCUCCUGCCCCUUCGCCUGAUCUGCUUGGGGAGUGGCCCCAAGCCUCCCUGGUACAUUCAUCUCUCCUGCCCUCGUGGAAUCCUCCCUCCCUGUUCCUUCUUCCAUGUUAUACAAGGUAACUCAGCUGAAGCUGGAGUAGUGGUAACUGCCGAAGCAGUUUUUGUUUUGUUUUGUUUUGUUUUUUCAUAAAGGCAGGACUAAAACCAAGGUGAAUGUUUAAAAUGAGACACUUGGCACCUCUUGCCUGUUGGGGUAUUAACACCUUCCCCAGAUUAGGUCUUAUUUUACAGGUACCUAAUUAAUCCCUGUUGGUCAGAACCAGUAGGCUAUCAGGUAAAAUGCAGCUGCAUGAAAACGGUCCUUGGAGGGGACGAUAUUGUAAGAUAGGGAAUGAAUCACGUAGGGACAACUUUCAGGGGUCACCUUCAGACUAGCAUUUUGGAAAAGCUGACCACCCAACGAUAGCUUUCUUGGUGAAGCUGUAGUAACAGGAACUAGUUCAUGGAAACCUUUGUGAGUUACUUACAAGAUAAAAAGGAUUGUGGCGAAGUCCCAGUGGUGUGAAGGAAAGCGUUUGGGUAUUGUCUAAACUGGAUUUCCCUGCAGUGAUUUGUAAAAGCCAAAUCGUGGAGGGCGGUCCUCCCCUGAUGAAUACAGGCCCUGAGAGAGGUCAGCCCCGAGCGCGUGCACCUCCAGUGGUGCGUGAAACAGGCACAUCUCCAGGCUUUUGUUCCAUAAGCAGACCAGCUUGGGCAGGAAAUUCAUCUGAGACUGCUCUGAAUUAGAAACUACAAAGUUAUGAAUGGCCCUUCUGCUCACAGGCCAGAGCCGUUGAAUCUCGAGUCCUUUAACCUCUUCCUAAUUGCUUCAAGGCAAACUACCCGCCCCCCGAAAAAGAUUUUUUUCAGGCAUUGUUUUCAGAAGAAACAAUUAAGGAGAAGACCCAGAUAAAUUGUUGCUUUACCUAAUUCCUCUUCUAGCUAUAAAUUGCUAGGGAAUUUAUAUUAAAUUCUCUGAUUGUAUAUUAUUAAUACAAUAUAUUUAUAUUAUACUAAUACAGAAUUUAUAUUAGAUUUUGUCAAAAUUCACAAAAUCUAUUCUUCUAAAAUUCCAUUGCAAGUGUCAUAAGAAAGGCAGGCAUAGAUUGCUGAAAAAUGACAAUAAUCUAACUGAAAGGGAAUGGGUUUCU
rnacentral:lncRNA from 1 species